rnacentral:rRNA from 1 species
CCUACGGGGGGCAGCAGUGAGGAAUAUUGGUCAAUGGCCGGAAGGCUGAACCAGCCAUGCCGCGUGAAGGUCAGUGCCCUAUGGGCGUUAAACUUCUUUUGUUCGGGAGCAAUAAUGGUCACGUGUGGCCAGACGAGAGUACCGUACGAAUAAGCAUCGGCUAACUCCGUGCCAGCAGCCGCGGUAAUACGGAGGAUGCGAGCGUUAUCCGGAUUUAUUGGGUUUAAAGGGUGCGUAGGCGGUCCGGAAAGUCAGCGGGAAAAGCCCGGGGCUCAACCCCGGAGAGCCGUUGAGACUGUCGGACUAGAGACGAGGAGAGGUAAGCGGAAUGCGCGGUGUAGCGGUGAAAUGCAUAGAUAUCGCGCAGAACUCCGAUUGCGAAGGCAGCGUACCGGAGCCGGACUGACACUGAGGCACGAAAGCGUGGGUAUCGAACAGGAUUAGAUACCCUAGUAGUC